GACGAACGCUGGCGGCGUGCUUAACACAUGCGAGUCGAACGGAAAGGCCCUGCUUUUGUGGGGUGCUCGAGUGGCGAACGGGUGAGUAACACGUGAGUAACCUGCCCUUGACUUUGGGAUAACUUCAGGAAACUGGGGCUAAUACCGGAUAGGAGCUCCUGCUGCAUGGUGGGCGUUGGAAAGUUUCGGCGGUUGGGGAUGGACUCGCGGCUUAUCAGCUUGUUGGUGGGGUAGUGGCUUACCAAGGCUUUGACGGGUAGCCGGCCUGGGAGGGUGACCGGCCACAUUGGGACUGAGAUACGGCCCAGACUCCUACGGGAGGCAGCAGUGGGGAAUAUUGCACAAUGGGCGGAAGCCUGAUGCAGCAACGCCGCGUGCGGGAUGACGGCCUUCGGGUUGUAAACCGCUUUCGCCUGUGACGAAGCGUGAGUGACGGUAAUGGGUAAAGAAGCACCGGCUAACUACGUG
rnacentral:rRNA from 1 species